AUUGAACGCUAGCGGCAUGCUUUACACAUGCAAGUCGCACGAGUGGCGGACGGGUGAGUAAUAUAUCGGAACGUGCCCAGUAUCGGGGGAUAACUAGUCGAAAAUUGGCUAAUACCGCCUACUAUUCGAGCGGCCGAUAUCGGAUUAGGUAGUUGGUGGGGUAAAGGCUAACCAAGGCAACGAUCCGUAGCUGGUCUGAGAGGAAGACCAGCCACAAUGGGACUGAGACACGGUCCAGACUCCUACGUGAGGCAGCAGUGGGUAAUUUUGGACAAUGGGCGAAAGCCUGAUCCAGCCAUCCCGCGUGUGUGAUGAAGGCCUUCGGGGUGUAAAGCACUUUUGGUAGAGAAGCGGUAUCUGCAGAAGAAGCACCGGCUAACUACGUGCCAGCAGCCGCGGUAAUUC
rnacentral:rRNA from 1 species